GACGAACCGUGCGAACGUUGUUCGGAAUCACUGGGCUUAAAGGGCGCGUAGGCGGGUGCCCAAGUCCGGGGUGAAAUCCUCCAGCUUAACUGGAGAAUUGCCUCGGAUACUGGGCGUCUGGAGUGGGGUAGGGGUGUGCGGAACGCUGGGUGGAGCGGUGAAAUGCGUUGAUAUCCAGCGGAACUCCGGUGGCGAAAGCGGCACACUGGACCCCGUCUGACGCUGAGGCGCGAAAGCCAGGGGAGCGAACGGG
rnacentral:rRNA from 1 species